rnacentral:rRNA from 1 species
AGACAAUCUGCCCUUACGCUCAUUUUAAUCCUGGGAAACUGGGGCCGAGAAAUGGAUAGAUAAGAUAUGCUGGAAUGCUUUUUUAUUGAAGUAAGGAUGAGUCUGCGUCCUAUCAGGUUGUAGUGUGUGUAAUAGACUCACUAGCCUAUAACGGGUACGGGCCUUGAGAGAGGAAGCCCGGAGAUGGAUUCUGAGACAAAAAUCCACGCCCUACGGGGUGCAGCAAGCGCGAAACGUCCUCAAUGCACGCAAGCGUGAAGACGGGAUUCGAAGUGCUUCCAUUUGGAAGCUUUUGUUUAGUCUAGACAGCUUUUCGAAUAAGGGGUGGGUAAGACGGGUGCCAGCCGCCGCGGUAAUACCCGCGCCCCAAGUGGUAACCCCGUUUAUUGGGCUUAAAGCAUUCGUAGCCGGUUUGGUAAGUUCCUAGUGAAAUUCCAUGGACAACCAUGGAGCGUGCUCGGAAUACUACUAGACUUGAGACCGGGAGAGGUCAAGGGUACUGUAGGGGUAAGGGUAAAAUCUUAUAAUCCCUAUGGGACCACCUGUGGCGAAGGCGCUUGACUAGAACGGAUCUGACGGUGAGGGAUGAAAGCUAGGGGAGAGACCCGGAUUAGAUACCCGGUUAUUCCUAGCCGUAAACGAUGCCCACUAGUCGUAGGAAAUCUCACGGGGGUUUUCUAUGUCGGAGAGAAAUCAUUAAGUGGGCCGCCUGGGGAGUACGUUCGCAAGGAUGAAACUUAAAGGAAUUGGCGGGGGAGCACCACAAGGGGUGAAGCCUGCGGUUC